AACGAACGCUGGCGGCAGGCUUAACACAUGCAAGUCGAACGCACCGCAAGGUGAGUGGCAGACGGGUGAGUAACACGUGGGGAUCUGCCCAAUGGUACGGAAUAGCUCCGGGAAACUGGAAUUAAUACCGUAUGUGCCCUUCGGGGGAAAGAUUUAUCGCCAUUGGAUGAACCCGCGUCGGAUUAGCUAGUUGGUGUGGUAAAGGCGCACCAAGGCGACGAUCCGUAGCUGGUCUGAGAGGAUGAUCAGCCACACUGGGACUGAGACACGGCCCAGACUCCUACGGGAGGCAGCAGUGGGGACUAUUGGACAAUGGGCGCAAGCCUGAUCCAGCCAUGCCGCGUGAGUGAUGAAGGCCCUAGGGUUGUAAAGCUCUUUCGCCGACGAAGAUAAUGACGGUAGUCGGAGAAGAAGCCCCGGCUAACUUCGUGCCAGCCGCCGCGGUAAUAC
rnacentral:rRNA from 1 species